rnacentral:lncRNA from 1 species
UUGGUAAAGGGAAAGAAGUAUCAAUAUUAUGAAUUUGUUUGCCUUGUUGAACUUUUCACCACCACAUCACCAUCAUCCUCAUUGUCAUUGUCAGUAUCAUCUUAGUGAUGUGUUUGCAUUCUUAUAUGUGGUUCCUGCGGCUGACAAGGGGAUGUAACGUAUUUCCUGAGAAGAACUCAGGCAGUGAGAACACAAGAUCAGAGGAGUCCAUUUCAAGCUUUUUGGUCACAGCAAGGUGCGAGUCCAACUGCUGGCUCUGGCAUGCUAUUUCUCAAAGCAUUAAGGCUCAUCACAACAUGGGUCUGCUCUCCAGUGUGGAUCGCAUAUCUCCAUCUGUGCGUUAAUCAUGGUAUGAUAUGCUACACGCUUUCACUUGGCUCAUAAUGGAACAUGAAGAUUAGUCAUGUCUGGUUUUACUUACCUCUCUCUUUUUCCAAUCCAGUUCUUGCAGAGAAGUACAUCAGAGUCAAAUGUAAUGAAGGAGACAGAGUCCACCUUCGAUCCACGAGAAACAUCACUGUGAUGCCAGGGGACGAUGUGAGGUGGACUGUUAACACGUUGUUGGUAAAAAAAGGAAUUGUACAGAGUUCAAACGGAAAGCAUACAGUGUCUGAUGAGGGGGGUCUGAUUAUAUGCUGGUAUCACAAAAGUGAUUCUGGGUUAUAUAAAGUUGAAAUAUUCAACAGUUAUGGAGGACGAAAAAUCAAUCAAUCAUUUAAUCUCACGAUCAAUGACUCAUUUCAGAAAGUGACCGAACAUUGCAACAGAAUUGAUACAACUGAAAAUCCACCAUGUGAUUUCAGAAGAGGACACUUUUCAACCAUUGCGGCCCUGUCAUUCUUUCUAACCACAACUCUAGUCAUGUUUGUUAUGGCAAUGAGGAAGACUCCACUAACGAAGCAAGAAGAUACUGCUGGGAAUGUGUACCAGACGAUGCAUGGUAGCUUACCAAAAACAUCUCCAGAUGCAGCCAGCAAUGUGUACCAGACGAUGCAUGGUAACUCACCAAAAACAUCUCCAGAUGCAGCCAGCAAUGUGUACCAGGACAUGCAUGGUAGCUUACCAAGAAAGACUCCCACACCCGACAGAACCGCUUUGGAUCAGAAUUCCUCACUUUAUGCUAUCCCAAAGAGAAACAGCACAAAGAGAGAUGCAGCCAGCAAUGUGUACCAGACGAUGCAUGGUAACUCACCAAAAACAUCUCCAGAUGCAGCCAGCAAUGUGUACCAGACGAUGCAUGGUAACUCACCAAAAACAUCUCCAGAUGCAGCCAGCAAUGUGUACCAGACGAUGCAUGGUAGCUUACCAAGAAAGACUCCCACACCCGACAGAACCGCUUUGGAUCAGAAUUCCUCACUUUAUGCUAUCCCAAAGAGAAACAGCACAAAGAGACAUACUGCUGAGUUUGAGGACGUAUACGUUUAACAGUAACAUCAUCAUCAUCAUCAUCAUCAUCAGCAGCAGCAGCAGCUUCUUCUUCUUCUUCUUCGUCAUCAUCCAAGCCACCCCCAUUGUUAACAUACGCAUACACAAAGGAUAAAUGGAAUUUUUAGUUUUCUUAAUAUUCCUCCAGCUCUUCUUCAACCAGUAGGUGGCACUGUGUUGUCUUCCUAGUUCACUAGACUAGUGCCAGGCAUUCAAUAGCCUGCUGCAGCUUGCAAUUUAGUCUACUUACAGUAGGCUAUUUUAUUAAAGUGUAUAAUGUGCUUGUGGUUUUAUCAGCUUUAUGAUUAGGUUAGCCAUAUUGUAGUUGUUUAUAUUGGUAUGAUUUUAAAUAAUUUUGAAAUAUUUGUACUGAUCAUAUACUGCCAGAAUAUGUAGGCUACAUUUAAUAUUAUGAAAUAUUGCAAUACAUUUUCUUAUGUGUCAUGCACCCAGAGAGGAUAUUUUGGAGUCUUUGGGUACAUCAUAUCCAACAUGAUAUCAUCUAAAUGUGUCUAAAAAGCUUGUUGUAAUCAUUUUGUUAAAUUUUAAAUUGAAUCAAAAAUGGCAUCUGUAAAAUGUUAUAAAUACACCCAAACAUCUUAAAUGAGAUGCAGAUAGCACCUUUACUGUUCCAAUAAAAUUGUAUUUUAAAAUGAGUUGUUUUAUAAA